GUUUGAUAACAAAUUUGUGUUUUUAUUUUUUUCACAGAAUAAGGGGAGAUCAGCAGCAUUUUGUUCGUAGAGAUGAGUUGAAGGCUGCUUGGGAGAUUUUUACACCUAUGCUCCACAGAAUCGAUAAUGGAGAAUUCAAGCCAAUUCCAUACCUGCCAGGCAGCCGAGGCCCAGCAGAAGCAGAUCAGUUGCUGGAAAGAGCUGGUUAUGUUCAAACACACGGCUACAUAUGGAUCCCUCCCACCUUGUAGUAGCUUUGCAUGCCUGCACGCAUAAUCUUCUGGAGACCAUGAGGUUUUGUCAGUGCCUACCUAUAACCAUAUAUAUAUAUAUAUAUACCAGCGUACAAUUGUCUCUAUGUUUUAUAAAUCUGUCAGGGCCUGCUCUUAGUAGUGUCCUGUGACAUUGCAUCGGCACUGUAAUCUUGAUGGGCUAUUAUAGAUCCAGAGUAUGAAUCUUGUUGUGUGAUUACUAAAAAUAUAAUAAUAAACUUGCGUUGAAGCCAAUGCAAGAGAGAAAUUUUGAUUUAA